rnacentral:rRNA from 1 species
UACGGAGGGGGCUAGCGUUGCUCGGAAUCACUGGGCGUAAAGGGUGCGUAGGCGGGUCUUUUAAGUCAGGGGUGAAAUCCCGGAGCUCAACUCCGGAACUGCCCUUGAAACUGCAGUGCUAGAAUCUUGGAGAGGCGAGUGGAAUUCCGAGUGUAGAGGUGAAAUUCGUAGAUAUUCGGAAGAACACCAGUGGCGAAGGCGACUCGCUGGACAAGUAUUGACGCUGAGGUGCGAAAGCGUGGGGAGCAAACAGG